rnacentral:rRNA from 1 species
UACAGAGGGUGCAAGCGUUAAUCGGAAUUACUGGGCGUAAAGCGCACGUAGGCGGCUUGGUAUGUCGGGUGUGAAAUCCCCGGGCUCAACCUGGGAACUGCAUCCGAAACUGCCUUGCUGGAGUAUGGGAGAGGGAAGCGGAAUUUCCGGUGUAGCGGCGAAAUGCGUAGAUAUCGGAAGGAACAUCAGUGGCGAAGGCGGCUUCCUGGACCAAUACUGACGCUCAGGUGCGAAAGCGUGGGGAGCAAACAGG